UCUGUAACACUUCAGUGCGUU
rnacentral:snRNA from 1 species